UGCCAAAGAGCACAGCCAAAGCCAUGAGAGAUGGGGAGUGUGACAAGGGCUGAAGGGAAGCAGAUGGAAGAGAGCUUGGCCAUGGAAAGGCAUCCCCACCACCGGUAAGUCCCUCCCUGCACACCAGCUCCAGGACUGUUCAGAAGCAGCUCCCAGUGUUUUCAGCAGUGAACAAUGCCCAUGAAUAAGGAACCCAAACAGAACAACAAAUAACGUUUCCCCAUGCGCUCUCAGCUGCCAAAGCAGAAGUGUGGGCAAGACUGACUCAGCUCCUGAGGGCAGUGAAUCAGAGAGAAGUGCCCGUCAAAGGGCGACUUCUGCCUGGGUGAUGAAGCAAGAGGGAGCUGAGGUGGACUUUGGACAUCUGAGCCUCCUUCCGACCCUCCCAACACAGAUUCCUCAGUAAGUUUCUGGUCUUGCCCUUUGUCUUCCUAUGUGUAAGUCUGAGAUAAUUUGUUCUUCCCUUUCUUCUACUCUCUGUCCAUCCAGCUGUGACUUGGGUUAGGGACUCUGGUACAGCAGGGCCCUCAUUUCUAGGCUGAAGGUUCUAUACAGCAAAUAAAUGGUAAGAGCACUAUAGACAGUCCUAGAGCUUCACAGCCUUUAUGCAUCCAAAGGAUAGAUACACUGUUAAUGGCAACCACCUCACCUGACAUUAAGGACCUAUUGUACACCAAAACCGCCUUAUUUUUGAGCCAGGGUUUAUAAGGCAAAGAGCAUCCUUGUGUUGCCAGUCCCCCUGCUCCAGUAACUUCUGAACCAGCUGACCUGAUUCAAUCAAGUUGGAUGGAAAACCAGGCCUCACAGACCCAAGAUUCUUGCAAUUUUCAUGAAAACCCAGCAGCAGGGUAGAAGAGAGACAUUUAAGUUAAUAUCUUCCUGUAGCAAAGGGAAUUACACCUCUUGCUCCCUGUCUGUUUUGAGAUGCAGCAGCCAAGUGAUCAGCUGGCAUUUAGAUACUGACUGGUCAGUAUGGUACCUGUCUAGCUUCAGACCAGCUCCUGUGCUCUCUGCCCCUUGCCUGCAAAGCAAGAAGCUGUUGGAAGAGCUUUGCUGGGGAGGUCUGAAAGGGAUGAGGAUGCCCUGGGGAUGUUACAGUGAGCUUGGAGCACCAAGAGAGGAGGAAAUAAGAAGCAGUUGUAACAUACAAAUCAGAGGAGAACAGGUUUCACCAGUUUCCUGCUCACAGAACAACUCGAUUUUUAGGUUCAAACUUAUUUUCAGGACAAAAUGGGUGUUUCUCUAACAACCACAGUUACUUUCCCCAGGGAAUUUUAAUGACCAGCAAAUGUCUUCCCAAUGCCCCCAGACCUGCACUUUCUGGUUUUCAAGUGAAAAACAUGCCUCUUUGGACUUGUUUUUUGGCAAUGAGAAGACAUUUGAUUCUUUUUUCCACCAAAAGCAUCUGAACAAAUGCUAUGGAAAAAUGGGAGUUUCUCAUUUCCCAUUGCUUUUUUUUUCCUAGGAGCAAAAAUAUUUCCCCAAGUCCUUCCUUGGGCUUUGCACACAAAGAGAUUCUAAGACAGAUGAAGACGUGAACACAGUCACAGCUGAAGACCUUUGAGUCCGAGCAUUGAGCUGGACACAGUGGGAUGGGACUAAGCAUGGGAAGGAGGAAUGUGCCUUCCCAAGGUCACCCAGUGGGCAGCGCUGGAGCUGUUGGCUCAGCGUUUCUGCCUCUUGACCACACUUUGUCCUGAAAGGAGGAGUUUCCUGGAGCAGAGCCAGGCCAUUGCUGAGUGCUUGGAAAGUGCCUGGCGCAGCCUGAGGUGCAGUCAUAAAUAAUAAUUAAAAUGAUAAUAGUAUUAUUAAAGUGGAGGCGUGCCACUGAGGAUGGGACCCACUCAGCAACUGACCUAAACCUAUGCCCCUCUUCUAGUAAAUGGCCAAGUUUGCCUCACAAAACCUGGGAGACCAGGAUUUACUUCUCUGGAGCUGCCAAUCACAGCAAAAAGCAAAGGGACCUGAGUUGAAUUAGGUCUGGUAUCUUCCCUAAGACCUCAUCCCUGUAACUGGCAGCUCUGGAAGGCUUUUUGCGGCUCAGGGGGUAUCUGGUAAGAGUUACAUUAACAGGGGGGAGCUGCCUGGACUAAUGUUUUUUUCAGAUAGGCCCUGAUUGACACUUCAAAUCUACCUGACAAUCUCUUAUUCUACGUGCAGUUGUGGCCUUUCUUCUGAGCAGGAGGAGCUGGGUUGGUUGCUGUCCUUCAACUGAUGGAUCUUAUCAUAUGGGAAAAAGAAGGAGAGAGGAAAGAAAGGCAAACCACGUGGAAACAGCCACAGGUGUGGACAAGACCAAAGACCAAAGCUAAAAGGUGCUUGAGCUCCUGUCUGCAUGCCAGCCUCAGUGUAUUGCGAGAUGGAGACGUCUGCAACCUCGCAUGCUGUGCUAUGGAUGGGAUUUGUUAUUCAUCUUUGGGAUCCUGCUAUUGAUGGGGCAGGAGACAAGCCCAGGCAGGCCAUCUCCAGCAGCUGCUGUGCUUCAGCGGGGCAGCUCAGGCUCAGGCAUGUCCCAGUGGCUCUUCUCCCAUACCCAAGUCAUGGAUGCAUCGAGUACUUCAGUUUCCAGGGCCAUCAGCCUGGCAGCUCUCCUCAGCACUGAAUUUACCUCGUAAAGGCACAUCAGUGUCCUGCCCAGUGGGAAUGGAGGAAUAGAUGUAGCCUCUGAAGUCUGCCUUUAAUUCACCUGCUUCAUUGCAUUUCCUGCCCUGCCUUCUGAUCAAUGAGCCUGCACUGGCUGUCCUGGGAAUACAAAGGGAUUUUCGUAUCCAGGUGAAUCCAACGGUGAGCUCUCAGGGCUCAAGCAGGAUGUGGCACAUCUCCCUUGAGGCUGCUUCAUUGUGGGUUUCUCUCCCCCAGCAGCACUUGCACACACUCUCCAAUCCAUGGCAGCUGCACCACAUUUCCUUGCACAGGGCUGUGCCACAUUAGUCCCUCUUAGUGAGGCUACUGUGCGGCAUUCCCUCCUGGAAGUGAUCUCCUUCCAGGUGUUCCUGGUUUUCAGCCACACGGUGUUCUUCAUAGGGCCACACGCUGCUUUCUGGGGCCCUGGCCCCAUGGUGGCUCUGCUGUGCUACCUCAAACAGGAUGCUGAGGCCAAAUGUUACCUCCCAGGGGCUCCCUUCUCAAGGCUGAUGCUCCCUUCUCGGGCCUUCAGGCCAUCACAUCAAGGACAGCAGCACCGUGUCACCUCAAAGGUGCUCUCAGGACUGCCUCAUCCACUUGGUGCUAUCAGAGAACCCUGAUGAAAGGGUUUCUGGCACUUGUGGCUAAGCAGACCCCCACUGUCCUGCUCUUUUUGAGCUCAUGUUAAUUCCAGGCAGUGCUGCUCAGCUGCUUAAUAAUCCAGUGUCAAAACCCUGGGGGAGCCAGGCAGGCUGCCCUUGGCUGGUGGCACCGAUUUGGUGACAUUGCUGCUUUACCUUGCCUGUUAUAAUCUGCAUCAGAUUGCUCUUUGCCUGCUCAAAUGGACAAUUAGGAGGCAGUUGUCAUGCAAAUUGCGUGGCGGCAUAAAAACCGUGGGGAACAACAUCAGAAAGAAGUACUUCUGUCAGCUUUUGUUACCAUGGGAUGGGUCCUGCUCAGAUCCUGUGCUGUGAAGCAUCAGACAGAAGAGAACCUGGUGUGCCUUUGUGUUUUAUAGGCAAGAGCUGCCGAGCUGCUCUGCGUAGCACUGCCUCCAGGCACUCACAGGCCCUGAUAACGUGUCUGUGUGCAAACCCAACAGACAGAUUGCCGCCUACGCUGGAAAUUUGAUGAUUGCCUUGUUUUUUCAAGGCUCUGGUUUAUCUACUGCAGGCCAAAGCCAUGGGGUAAUUUCCAGUCUUUCAGCACAGGGCUGGGAUGCUGUGCGGAGGGAAGCGGAGAGAUGCUGACAUUCCGAUCUGCCACCUCAUGUGCUCUUAAUACUGACAGCCUUGGAAGCGUGCUGGUGUCACUGGUGUUGUGGCUGUUCUUGUCAUUGUUGUCUUCCCAUGUUUGGUGCUAAAUGUUGUAAAUGAAGAGAAAUAUCUAAAUUUGUAAAGGAAUGUAAAGUUCUGGAGGAAUUAAACGCGCAGGAGUCCUGCAAACACAAA